rnacentral:rRNA from 1 species
UACGGAGGGGGCUAGCGUUGUUCGGAAUUACUGGGCGUAAAGCGUACGUAGGCGGCUUUGUAAGUUAGAGGUGAAAGCCCAGAGCUCAACUCUGGAAUUGCCUUUAAGACUGCAUCGCUUGAAUCGUGGAGAGGUUAGUGGAAUUCCGAGUGUAGAGGUGAAAUUCGUAGAUAUUCGGAAGAACACCAGUGGCGAAGGCGACUAACUGGACACGUAUUGACGCUGAGACGCGAAAGCGUGGGGAGCAAACAGG